CCCGUUAUCCCAUUAGCGGUAACCUACUGAGGCAGGCGACACCGGUAACAGUGUGGUCUGAAGCCCUCAGGACAACGUAACUCUGGAAAUAUCCGAUCUGAAUCCGUGAGGAUAGAGGGGCAUCUGCAAGCAUCGUGCGGAUGGAG
rnacentral:ncRNA from 1 species